UCAAGCAUUCACUUCUAGUCGGCUACAGAGGACAAAGCAGCUACAGUAUGCCGACCUCCUGUCUCUUUAUUCUUCUUCGGAAAGGCCAAGUACUUGUUUUGAUGCUGUGUACUUGGGCGUGGCGUGUUCUCAGUUUAGUUUGGUGAAGAGCUAAUGGCAUGCCUUGCAAAAUUGCUAACAUCCUAAAUUCGCCCAGCCACUUUGUCCAGUUCUUCCAGAAUAAUUCCAAAACUUUCCCAUGCUAUAGUCGAGAGACACACUCCCUCCAAUGUGUUCUAGGCCUUUCUUGGUGACUCCUUCAAAUGGGACAUGCUCUGACGACCUCACCAGGGAGGUGCCCAGGAGGCUUCCUAACCGAAUGCCCAAGUCACUUCAUCUUGCUCCUCUUUUCGCAGCAGCUCUACUCUGAGCCUCUUCCAAAGGCCUAGCUUCUCAUGCUAUCGCUGAGGAAGAGAUGACACGUCACUGCCUACCCCACAUGGAUCCGCCUGCUGAUCUCCAACUUCAUUCUUCCCUCACAACAAGAUACUUGACCUUUCAAAGAGCAGUAUCACGGCAAGGAGAUCCACACUUACUUCCUCUGGUUGUCUGUGAGUGUGAUUCCCUGUGCUGACACCUUAAAGUGGACAACAGUCGAGGCUGACGGAGGGUCCAUGGCGAGUGUCAGCGUGGUCGCUUUCUGAACUGCCUGGUGUCCCGUGAGAGACUCCAGUUCCACAGAGCCAAGGUGACAAAGCUGAUACGCAUGUCUGCGACAGUCGUGUUCCAAGGAUGCAAAAGACGGGAAACAGCAGAACCAGCGUACAGUUCCUGACCAUUGUUACGUGCGGGGAGUCACAGCUUGCUGCGAGGUUUGUUCCCCCGGGAUACGGACGGACCACUCCGGACAGGACGUGUAGGUAGGAAGAUGAUUUAUUUGUAGAACUC